UACAGAGGGUGCGAGCGUUAAUCGGAAUUACUGGGCGUAAAGCGCGUGUAGGCGGACCACCAAGUCGGACGUGAAAGCCCUGAGCUCAACUCAGGAACUGCAUCCGAAACUGGCGGUCUGGAGUAGUGGAGAGGAAAGCAGAAUUCCUGGUGUAGAGGUGAAAUUCGUAGAUAUCAGGAGGAACACCGGUGGCGAAGGCGGCUUUCUGGACACUUACUGACGCUGAGACGCGAAAGCGUGGGGAGCAAACAGG
rnacentral:rRNA from 1 species